AGCACGCUCAGCGAGGUGGCGAUCGCGGAGGCGGCUGCGGGUCGCUGACGGAUGUUUCACGUGAAACGCUCGUCGCCUUCGGGCGGCGGGCGUUCUUC
rnacentral:tRNA from 1 species